UGGGGUAUCGCCAAGCGGUAAGGCACCGGUUUUUGAUACCGGCAUUCCCUGGUUCGAAUCCAGGGCGGUAA
rnacentral:tRNA from 1 species